rnacentral:rRNA from 1 species
UGACCCUCCUUCGGGAGGGGAAGAGUGGCGAACGGGUGAGUAACACGUGGGCAAUCUGCCCUGCACUCUGGGAUAACUCCGGGAAACCGGUGCUAAUACCGGAUACGACCAUUGCGGGCAUCCGUGGUGGUGGAAAGCUCCGGCGGUGCAGGAUGGGCCCGCGGCCUAUCAGCUGGUUGGUGGGGUAAUGGCCCACCAAGGCGACGACGGGUAGCCGGCCUGAGAGGGCGACCGGCCACACUGGGACUGAGACACGGCCCAGACUCCUACGGGAGGCAGCAGUGGGGAAUAUUGCACAAUGGGCGCAAGCCUGAUGCAGCGACGCCGCGUGAGGGAUGACGGCCUUCGGGUUGUAAACCUCUUUCAGCAGGGAAGAAGCGCAAGUGACGGUACCUGCAGAAGAAGCACCGGCUAACUACGUGCCAGCAGCCGCGGUAAUACGUAGGGUGCGAGCGUUGUCCGGAAUUAUUGGGCGUAAAGAGCUCGUAGGCGGCCUGUCGCGUCGGAUGUGAAAGCCCGGGGCUUAACCCCGGGUCUGCAUUCGAUACGGGCAGGCUAGAGUUCGGUAGGGGAGAUCGGAAUUCCUGGUGUAGCGGUGAAAUGCGCAGAUAUCAGGAGGAACACCGGUGGCGAAGGCGGAUCUCUGGGCCGAUACUGACGCUGAGGAGCGAAAGCGUGGGGAGCGAACAGGAUUAGAUACCCUGGUAGUCCACGCCGUAAACGUUGGGCA